rfam:Parcubacteria bacterium GW2011_GWB1_45_10 TW89_C0007, whole genome shotgun sequence.
GUCCCUGUAGCUCAAUGGCAGAGCGAUCGCCUGUGAAGCGAUUGGUUGCGGGUUCAAAUCCCGUCAGGGACC